AUGUGGCAUCUAUAUUACUACCUAUGUUACUCCCACUAUGACCAGCCUAACCACCCACGCACACACAUGCCACGAGCCACCAACCACCCAUGCCCACGAUGCGGAUGGCGACCGGCUGGAGGCGAGCGGAGCGGAGGGAGAUUGGCGCCAGGGAGCACGGCGGCCGGCGCGCUGGAGCAUGGCUUGGCGGCGGCACAGGCUAGGGCAGCAGCGGCGGCGUCGGAGCGUGGCUGGGCUGCGGCGGCCGCGGCGGCGCGCGGCGGGGCCGCAGCGCGGGCGAACGUGGCCGGGCGCCGACACGGCGAGCAGGUCCUGGCGGCCGCGGGAUCCUCUUCCCCCAUCCUGCCGCAGACCUCCCCUCCUCUGCGCUCACGCUCGACGGCCUCGUCUACAUCGUCUAUGGAUGGGCUGUGGCCAUGGCAGGGGAAUGGAGCCAUCCACCUCCCUGGCCCCUUGUGCGCUGGCGGCGCGGAUCUCGACCUCCCCGGCGGCGUGGAGUCAACCACCUCCUGGCGGCGCGUGCGUUUGUUCAGUUCGUCAAAUAGAGUAAUUUUUUAG
rnacentral:rRNA from 1 species